rnacentral:rRNA from 1 species
UGGGGAAUAUUGGACAAUGGGCGCAAGCCUGAUCCAGCAAUUCCGCGUGGGUGAAGAAGGUCUUCGGAUUGUAAAGCCCUUUCGACAGGGACGAUGAUGACGGUACCUGUAGAAGAAGCCCCGGCUAACUUCGUGCCAGCAGCCGCGGUAAUACGAAGGGGGCUAGCGUUGCUCGGAAUGACUGGGCGUAAAGGGCGCGUAGGCGGCACACACAGUCAGGCGUGAAAUUCCCGGGCUUAACCUGGGGACUGCGCUUGAUACAUGUGAGCUAGAGGAUGGAAGAGGCUCGUGGAAUUCCCAGUGUAGAGGUGAAAUUCGUAGAUAUUGGGAAGAACACCGGUGGCGAAGGCGGCGAGCUGGUCCAUUACUGACGCUGAGGCGCGAAAGCGUGGGGAGCAAA